AGCAGCCGCGGUAAUUCCAGCUCCAAUAGCGUAUAUUAAAGUUGUUGCAGUUAAAAAGCUCGUAGUUGAAUUUCGGGAUCAAUGUUUCGGUCAUGCCCUUGGUAUGUACUGAUAUUAUUGGUUUCUCACCUUCUAAAGAACCGUAAUGCCAUUAAUUUGGUGUCACGGGGAAUUAGGACUGUUACCUUGAAAAAAUUAGAGUGUUUAAAGCAGGCUCACGCUUGAAUACAUUAGCAUGGAAUAAUGAAAUAGGACAUCCGAUUCUAUCUUGUUGGUUUCUAGGAUCGAUGUAAUGAUUAAUAGGGAUAGUUGGGGGCAUUAGUAUUCAAUUGUCAGAGGUGAAAUUCUUGGAUUUAUUGAAGACUAACUACUGCGAAAGCAUUUGCCAAGGAUGUUUUCAUUAAUCAAAAACGAAAGUUAGGGGAUCGAAGACGAUCAGAUACCGUCGUAGUCUUAACCAUAAACUAUGCCGACUAGGGAUCGGAUGAUGUUAAUUUUUUAAUGACUCA
rnacentral:rRNA from 1 species